UCCAUUAAAGAUAAAUAGUUUGGUUUGGAUCUAAUUUGAAUAAAUAAUUUCACAAUUAGAUUUAUCUUGUGUAGUUUUUCCUUAUUUUUAAUCAUAUAAAUAGACUCAACUAAAAGAGAACUGAGCCCACCAGAACCAAUUUUUGAAAUGUGUUAGUAUAUAUUGGGAAGAGUAUAAUUCUUUUGGAUGGUAAGAAAUAGAAUUUUAUGGAGUAAUAGUUACUAUUACUAGUUAUGAACAUUGAAAAUAAUAAUUUUAUGACAAUUUUUUUCAAUUCAUUUAUCCUUUUAGUUGUUCGAUUGAUUAGAGUUGUUUUAUUGGAGUAUCUUACGUAAGAAUCUAAGAAGAAAAAAGGGGGAGGGUAUGUAUAAGAAGAUGUAUACUCAUAAUCAAAGAGUUCUGAAGAUAAUAAUCACUAGUAUUAUUAUUUUGUCACCUAUAUUCUGAAAGAACCAAGUUCCUUCAUCAAUUAUGUAAGUAGGUAAAGUGUCAAAUAGUAUAUCAAUACAAGAAUUUUUACAUGAAAAAAUUCUUGCUCAAUAGAGACAAAAACCAUAACUUAUCUCCAAUAUAAUUUUCCAAACUCUCUACUAUAACUCGAUCUAUUUUAGGUUACAACAUUUUAUACUCCUAAUAAAUUGACUCUAACAACACCUACUCCAAUUCUCAACAAUUCUCUCUAAUCAUUGGUACCUUUUCCAACUCAUUCAAACACUCUACCUAGUCUAUGAUGUCCCGUUAUAAUAUAAAAUCAACACUUAAUAUAAAAAUUUAUGAAUGUACAUAAAGUUUUGGGACCACAAAAAUCAAACUAUUACAACUCAAGAAUAUUCAUGAGAGUUAGUUAGUUAUCACAAUUAGUUAGUGUGUCAUGAUUGAUUAGUGGAUGAUCAAAGCUAGUUAGAUUAAUAACUAAUUAAAGGAUGAGUUGGACAGAGCUGGAGUAGUCUAUAAAUACUUACAUUGUACUCAUGCUUCAUAGACUGAAUGAAAUAUCAAAAUCCCUUUCUUCUCUCUGAGCUACUCUGUUAGAUUUCCGCCAUUGAUGUAGCUCAAAUUGCUAAGGCUAACAUGAUAUCAGAGUAAUCGUGACUGGAUCACACAAGCUCAUACGUAAAUCAUCAGUAGCCUUCAUCAUGUUCUCCAACUGGGGUCGGAAUCACAAUCACAAACAGUUACCGAUCAACAACCUCAAUCAGUUGCUGAAAAAAUCAACAACACUCAUCCGUUGUAUGUUCAUCCCUCUAAUACCCCAGGAUCGAUACUCAUUCCGACGAAAUCAAGGGUAGCUCGGUGCACUAAAUCUCCCGCUAUACGCAGGGUUCAGGAAAGGGCCCGACCACAAGGGUCUAUUGUACGCAGCCUUACCUUGCAUUUCUACCAGAGGCUGUUUUCUAGGCUUGAACCCGUGACCUUAUGGUCAUCUGACAGCAACUUUACCAGUUACUCCAAGGCUCCUAACAAAAUUAACGGGAUCGGAAAACUAUGGUUUGUGGCAUAUAUCUAUGACCAUUGUGCUACAAGCUGAGAAAAUUGAUAUUUGUCAUAGGUACCUGCUGGAAGGAUCAAUUUAUGAUGAAUUGCAUGAAAAUUGGGAGACUUGUAAUGCGAUCGUGUUAUCAUGGAUCAUGAACACGGUUUCUGCCUCUCUCCUUAGUGGAAUUGUAUACUUAUCUAGUGCGCAUCUGGUGUGGAAAGAUCUAAAAGAGCAUUUUGAAACGGUGAACCGAGUCCAAAUUUUCCAACUACAUAGGGAAAUAGCUAUGAUCUCGAAGGGCAUAGAUUUUAUUGCUAUAUAUUUCACUAAAUUGAGUGAACUUUAGGCUGCAUAUUAUGCCCUAGUUCCUACUCCUGGUUGUGAAUGCAGCAAAUCGAAAGAGUAUAUCAAACAUUUAUAGAGGCAGAGAUUGUUUUAGUUUCUCAGUGGGUUGAAUGAGUCCUAUGAACAAGUUCGUCGCCAAUUAUUGUUAAAAACUAUGGAACACUCAUUGAAUCAAUCUUAUGCUAUGUUAAACGAGGAUGAAAAUCAAAGAUCUUGUCCUUUUCUAGCCUUGACAAGCAAAGGAGAACCACUGCCUAUGCAAUUUAGUAAGAAUCAGUCGUACAAAGGUAAGAAGCCUUUUAUCAAAUGUGACUGGUGCAGCAAAGGCGGAUAUGUUCGAGAUUAUUGCUACUGGUUGAUAGGUCAUCCUGGACAAUCUGAAGAUCCUACAAGGGCUCAUGAUGAUGAAGAUAAGAAGAAAAAAUAUCCAACAAAUACUGAAAAGAAGCCUUACCACCAACAAUUUGAUAAAGCUGUUUAAUUUGCAUUUUGAGAAGAAGCGGAACUUUGCAGCAAACAAUGUUAUGAACGACAACAGAAGAGCUGAGGUUAAUGAUUCUAAUGGUCCUGGGAAGACUAGACAUAGUGGACAAGUUUUUUCUGAUGAACAGUACAGACAACUACAAUAAUUGUAUGGGAGGAAUGGUCCUAGGUUCUCUGAUGAACAGUAUAGACAGAUUCAGGACCUCAUGAAUGAGAAAAAGGAACCAACUGAUCAUCACGUCAACCUAGCAGGAUCUUUACAGUGGCGGAGUGAGGGGGAUUGGUAGGGAGGAAAGAAGUCUAUACAUUGUCAAGCAAGGUUUUAAGGGUGAUUGCUUCAUUAAUGGUGCAUUGAUAUCCACAGUAUCAGCUAAGAAGUCAAUAUGUACUGAGCUAUGGCAUCAAAGAUUAGGACACUCAUCAUUGCAGGCCAUGCACAUGCUAUGAAUAGUUCAGAAAAGUCUCUUAGAUGUUGCUGCAACUAAAGUCUCUCCUAUAUGCCCUUUAGCUAAACAAAGUAGAUUAGUCUUUCCUCAUAGUAUUUCUAGAAGUACGAGAUCCUUAGAACUGGUUCAUCUUGAUGUUUGGGGUCCUUAUAUGACACCUACUCAUGAUGUGAAACACUUCUUCCUUACAAUUGUUGGUGACUACUCUAAAUACACUUGGGUUUAUAUGUUGCAGAUAAAGAGUGAAGUAAUCACUGUAUUGAAGUCUUUUUUGUGCUUAAUAAAGACUCAAUUUGAUGUUGUCUUGAAAA